AACAUCGCCUCCUGCAAAAAUCAAUGUAUAGGAGGUCCUGCCUGCCCAGUGACAACUUGUUAAACGGCCGCGGUAUUUUGACCGUGCUAAGGUAGCGCAAUCACUUGUCUUUUAAAUGAAGACCUGUAUGAAUGGUGGAACGAGGGCUUAGCUGUCUCCCUUCUCCCGUCAAUGAAAUUGAUCUGCCCGUGCAGAAGCGGACAUGUAUAUACAAGACGAGAAGACCCUUUGGAGCUUAUUGGGGCGACCGCGGGGGAAAACAAAGCCCCCACGUAAAACCGAGAGAGACAUCUCUAAGCCACAGAAUAUCUGACCAAAAGAUCCGGCCCACAAGCCGAUCAACGAACCAAGUUACCCUAGGGAUAACAGCGCAAUCCUUUCCAAGAGUUCAUAUCGACGAAAGGGUUUACGACCUCGAUGUUGGAUCAGGACAUCCUAAUGGUGCAGCCGCUAUUAAGGGUUCGUUUGUUCAACGAUUAAAGUCCUACGUGAUCU
rnacentral:rRNA from 1 species